rnacentral:rRNA from 1 species
AUGGCUACGAGGACGAACGCUGGCGGCGUGCUUAACACAUGCAAGUCGAACGAGAGGAGAAGGAAGCUUGCUUCUUUCAAAUCUAGUGGCAAACGGGUGAGUAACACGUAAACAACCUGCCUUCAGGAUGGGGACAACAGACGGAAACGACUGCUAAUACCGAAUACGUUCCUUAGGUCGCAUGAUCUUAGGAAGAAAGGGUGGCCUCUACCUGUAAGCUUUCGCUGGAGGAGGGGCUUGCGUCUGAUUAGCUAGUUGGAGGGGUAACGGCCCACCAAGGCGACGAUCAGUAGCCGGUCUGAGAGGAUGAACGGCCACAUUGGGACUGAGACACGGCCCAGACUCCUACGGGAGGCAGCAGUGGGGAAUCUUCCGCAAUGGACGAAAGUCUGACGGAGCAACGCCGCGUGAACGAUGACGGCCUUCGGGUUGUAAAGUUCUGUUAUACGGGACGAAUGGCGUAGCGGUCAAUACCCGUUACGAGUGACGGUACCGUAAGAGAAAGCCACGGCUAACUACGUG